CAUAUGCUUGUCUCAAAGAUUAAGCCAUGCAUGUCUAAGUGCGGUGUUUUAUACACACUAGACUGCGGACGGCUCAUUACAACAGUUAUAGUUUAUUUGAUGGAUCCUAUUACGUGGAUAACCGUGGUAAUUCUAGAGCUAAUACAUGCCAAAAUCGUUGGUCUCGGGCCGACGUGCAUUUAUUAGAUACAAAUCAAUUCGUCUCUGACGAUUUUGAGGACUCAUAAUAACUCUUGCCGAUCGCAUGGCCUUGUGCCGGCGGCAUAUCAUUCAAGUUUCUGACCUAUCAGUUAGUCGGUAGUGUAUUGGACUACUGAGGCAUUGACGGGUAACGGAGAAUUAGGGUUCGGUUCCGGAGAGGGAGCCUGAGAAACGGCUACCACAUCUAAGGAAGGCAGCAGCUGCGUAAAUUACCCAAUCCUGACACAGGGAGGUAGUGACAAGAAAUCGCAAUAUUUGGCACUCAUGUGUUAAAUAAUUGUAUUGAGAACAGGCUAAACAUGUUAUCGAUAAACUAUUGGAGGGCAAGUCUGGUGCCAGCAGCCGCGGUAAUUCCAGCUCCAAUAGCGUAUACUAACGUUGUUGCAGUUAAAAAGCUCGUAGUUGGAUUUUUAAGGAUCCAUGGUCGUCGCGGCCUUUCGUGUCGUGUACGACCCCUGGGUCUCUUAUUUUGCGGCAUCUGCCGGUUGGGCUUAGUUGUUCGACCGGUCUGAAGCCGCGUGUUUACUUUGAGAAAAUUAGAGUGUUCAAAACAGUCCCUUGAUUGUAUAUCAUAGCAUGGAAUAAUAACUGAUGACUUCGGUCAAUUUUUGUUGGUUUAGUGACUGAUGUAAUGAUUGAUAGAGUUAGUCGGAGGUAUUAGUAUUUAAUCGUUAGAGGUGAAAUUCACGGAUCGAUUAAAGACUAACAACUGCGAAAGCAUUUAUCUAGGAUUUGCUCUUUGAUCAAGAACGAAAGUUGGGGGAUCGAAGACGAUCAGAUACCGUCGUAGUCUCAACUUUAAACUAUACCAGCUAGGGGUUGGCAAAUGUUAUUUAUUGACUUUGUCAGAACCUUAUGAGAAAUCAAAGCAUUUGGGUUCCGGGGGGAGUAUGGUCGCAAGGCUGAAACUUAAAGGAAUUGACGGAAGGGCACCACAAGUUGUGGAUCCUGUGGCUUAAUUUGACUCAACACGGGAAAACUUACCAGGUCCAGACAUAGUAAGGAUUGACAGAUUGAUAGCUCUUUCUUGAUUCUAUGGGUGGUGGUGCAUGGCCGUUCUAGUUGGUGGAGUGAUUUGUCUGGUUAAUUCCGUUAACGAACGAGACUAUUACCUGCUAAAUAGCCAGCCGAGCGUUAGCGCCCGGCGUGGCUUCUUAGAGGGACUAGCAUUCUUCCAAAUGCUGGAAGUUAGUAGCAAUAACAGGUCUGUGAUGCCCUUAGAUGUUCUGGGCCGCGCACGGGCUACACUGGUGGAGUAAAUAAGUACUUACCUAGGCCGACAGGCCCGGGUAAUCUUGAAACUCCAUCGUGGUUGGAAUCGCGCCUUGUAAUUCUUGCGCGUGAACGAGGAAUACCUAGUAAGCGUACAUCAUUAAUGUACAGUGAAUACGUCCCUGCCCU
rnacentral:rRNA from 1 species